UGGAACUGUUGGAUACCCCUCCACAUACAGUGAGAUACGCUUAGAAGAAGUUCCUGAGAUGGGCUACAACCCACUAGCAGUUCCUUCCCGCGGAGAAAUAUGUGUGAGGGGUAAGACUGUAUUCUCUGGGUACUACAAAAAUCCUGAGCUGACAAAGGAAGUGAUUAGAGAUGGCUGGUUCCAUACAGGUGAUAUCGGGGAGAUGAGCCCUGAAGGCAUCCUGAAGAUUAUCGACAGAAAGA
rnacentral:misc_RNA from 1 species